ensembl:lncRNA
GAGGAUAUUGCAACAAAAGUGAAUUCAAGAUGUCUGAUAAGUCUUACUGAGGUUUUUAGUGUGUCAGUUUAACUAACUUUAAAGGAUUCUUUCUAUAUAGACAAAGAGAAAACCUUAACUAUGAUAUUAUAAUAUGAGUUAACAUUUUACCAAACCUCAAGGAGAAGAAGCAAGUGUGUUUUGUGUAGCCAGGUUCAUUUGAAAGAAACCUCAUUCUGGACCUGGUGUUUUGUUUGACUGACUAGAUAACGUCAUGAAAAAAACUAAAAACACUUCCAGCGACCAUAAUAUAUGUUUCAUGUCUCGUGUAGAACUCAGUUUCUCACAGUAACCAUAUUACUUACUUGCUAUUUCUAAUGAAAAUUCAAUAUUUUCCAGGUACCUCUUAAAAAUGAGCUAAAAAGACAUUUAAGGAAUAAAAUUAGCAUAAUGAGAGUUACAAUUUAUCUGUAAAAAUUAGCAGCACAGACACAUUUUCCAACUCAUUUAGGUCGGUACUGAUAUAUGCACAUACUUUAAACCCACUUGCUGAGAACAUUAAAUCUCUCCUGUAGUCGACUGAACAGAUUAUUCCAACUGUUGUCAUGUAGCAGAGGCUUUAAAUAGAAUACAUUUCAAAUGUACACAUUCACUGGGUAAAAUAAGAAAACAAGUAAUAAUAUUAUAAUAUAAAUAAUAUAGGUAUACUUCAACCUACAUUAAAGAACAUGCCAUAUUUAUUUUUUUAAUUUAAAUGUUAUGCUUUUUGUGUGUUCUUCUUCUAAGAUUUUCAUUAUCUGCCUGUCAGUGCUAAUAUUUCAUUUCAAAUCUUUUAUCAAUAUCAAUAUCUUUGAUAUCAACUAAAAAUGUACUCAAGUAGGAGUAAGAAAUGAUUUUUUAUUUGUUGAUUUACACUACCGUUCAAAGGUUUGGGGUCACUUAGAAAUGUCCUUAUUUUGGAAAGAACAGCGGUUUUGUUCAAUGAAGAUAACAUUAAGUGAAUCAGAAACACAAUCUAGACAUUGUUAAUGUGGUAAAUGACUACUGUAGCUGGAAACAGCUGAUUUUUAAUGGAAUAUCUCCAUAGAGGUACAGAGGAACAUUUCCAGCAACCAUCACUCCUGUGUUCUAAUGCUACAUUGUGUUAGCUAAUGGUGUUGAAAGCUAACUGAUGAUUAGAAAACCCUUGUGCAAUUAUGUUAGCACAAGAAUAAAAGUGUGAGUUUUCAUGGAAAAUGUGAACCUUUUGAAUGGUAGUGUAUAUAUUUUCUAGUGCUUCUGGGCUCUGCAAGCUCAAAAUACAUCAUGAGAGCACAUUUGGGUAGCAUUAUUAAUGAUAAAAGUUGCGAUUGCACUGAAUGUCCACUGAGAUGUAUUUUCAUGCAUUUCUUUAGUACAAAUGAGUGAAACUGUAAGUCUACAUGGUUAGUUUAGCUCAGCACAAAGGCUGGAAACAGCCAGCUGCUCUGCCCUGCACAUUGCUCCCCAUGAAACAGUAAAUUGUUCUUUUUACACUUUGGAUUUUGCACCAAAUAAAGAAAGAAGAUCAAAUUACUGUCAGUAAUUUAAGCCAGAAAGCAAAUAAGUGUUUCCUAAAAUGCCGAGCUGCUCUUUAAAAGAACCCUGUUUAGCGACAUGUAUUUGACUUCUCUUGUUCUAAAGCACAAUUCUGGAUCAUAUUGAAUCUUGUGGUGUAACGGUGUAGAUAACACAGGAAGUGACACUUUCUCUGUGAAUACUGAUCAGAAGCCUCCUUCUGACAGACGUGUACACAGUGCCAUGAACUAAAGAUAGCUUUUAUGUGUACCACAUUUUAUUUUUCUGCCCUGUUCAUAACGUUGUAUGAGGAGCUUUCAGUCCAGUUGGGAAAACAGCUCGUUUGUAUAGACUUUAAAACAUUGUGUACUUUAUAAGUGAUGAGUCUAAUUAUUGUCGUUUUAUAUGUAACGAUUUCAGGCACCAUGUAUCAGUGGUUUCAGGACCGUUCUACAGAUGUGGAUGUGGUGUGAACUGUCACUGUUUUCUAUGUACUGUAUACUCCUGAGCAGUAAAAUUAGAAAGAAAAACA